rnacentral:lncRNA from 1 species
AUGGACUGUUUCCCUUCCUGGGUCACCUGCUAUCCUAGGCCACUGUCAUGCACAACUGCUGGCAGUGACUCCCAGCUCACCUCCUUCCUCAUCUUCUUAACCCUUUGGAUCUCUGCAGGUAGACUGUCUCUGAUCACAGCAGGGAGCUGGGGAAGGAUCUUUCCAGGACCUAGCAUAUGCACAAGGUGGGAUGAAGAAAGGCUUGUACAUGCUGUGCCCCCAAAUCCGGAGACAGAAAUUGCAGGAAUCAUCUUGGAUCAGAAUCCUAAAAUCUUACUGAGGCAGCACCUAAAUGGGGCACUGCUGAAGCUCUUUGAAAGUCAGACUUUCUUCUGGUAA